AAAUUGAAGAGUUUGAUCAUGGCUCAGAUUGAACGCUGGCGGCAGGCCUAACACAUGCAAGUCGAGCGGAAACGAGUUAUCAGAACCUUCGGGGGACGAUAGCGGCGUCGAGCGGCGGACGGGUGAGUAAUGCCUAGGAAAUUGCCCUGAUGUGGGGGAUAACCAUUGGAAACGAUGGCUAAUACCGCAUGAUGCCUACGGGCCAAAGAGGGGGAC
rnacentral:rRNA from 1 species